rfam:Oryza nivara chromosome 1, whole genome shotgun sequence.
AAUAAGCACAGCCAUGAGUUUUCGUGCGCAAGUUUAAUCGUCCGCCUUAUUUAAAUUUUUUUAUGAUUAGUAUUUUUAUUGUUAUUAGAUUAUAAACCAUAAAUAUUACUUUAUGCGUGACUUAUUUAUUUUAGUUUUUUUAAAAAAAUUAAAUAGAACGAACGAUUAAAGUUGAACACGAAAACUCAUGGCUGCAUUUAUU